rnacentral:rRNA from 1 species
GAUGAACGCUGACAGAAUGCUUAACACAUGCAAGUCUUUGGCGAAGCUGUGCUUGCACAGCCUAGCCAAGGCGGACGGGUGAGUAACGCGUAAGGAACUUGCCCUGCAGUCAGGGAUAACAGACGGAAACGACUGAUAAGACCUGGUAAAGUCAGGCGGACUCAUGUCCAGCCUGAUGAAAAGAGAUGCUGCAGGAGAGCCUUGCGUCCUAUUAGCUUGUUGGUGGGGUAACGGCCCACCAAGGCGAUGAUAGGUAGCCGGCCUGAGAGGGUGGACGGCCACAAGGGGACUGAGAUACGGCCCUUACUCCUACGGGAGGCAGCAGUGGGGAAUAUUGGACAAUGGGGGCAACCCUGAUCUAGCAAUUCUGUGUGCACGAUGAAGGUUUUCGGAUUGUAAAGUGCUUUCAGCAGGGAAGAAAAAAAUGACGGUACCUGCAGAAGAAGCGACGGCUAAAUACGUG